CAAAUUUUGCAAUCAAAUUUGAUGAUUACAAGGAAUGAAUUCAAUUUCUGUCACUGUGUCAGGCGCGUCGUUUCGUCUGGUGUCACGAGAGUGAGGCCCACGCAUGCGUUCUAACCGUCACAAAAGAUCAAAAAAAGUUGUUGGGAACCGGAUGGAUCGUACUCAGUGGACUCGUUAGAUGGUUCAACUUCAACUAGUAGCCCAGAAAAAAAACUAAACAAAAGAGAGGGUUUCUAAUAAGCGGAUCCAAACCAGAAAAAGGAAAGUUGGUUUGUUGUAUCGCGAGCAACAAGUUGUAUAGAACUUUGAGAACAUGGUGAAGCAGAGAUGUUAUAGAACUUUGUUGUAUCAUGAGUCUUCGUGUGUAAUUAAACUAUCGGAUACUUUUUAAUAUAUGUAAAUAAUUUCAUGUGAGUUAGAAAUUUAGUGUCAAGGAGCUGUUUUCAAGUGUAUAGAAUGGAGACAGCAGAUCCGCAAUAAUUUCUAGAUAACGGUCUCUUGUUGAUCUUAUAUGUAUAUAUUAACAAGUUGUUGAUCCAGCAAGUUGUUUGCAUAAUU